rnacentral:rRNA from 1 species
UAGGGAAUCUUCCGCAAUGGGCGAAAGCCUGACGGAGCAACGCCGCGUGAGUGAUGAAGGUCUUCGGAUCGUAAAACUCUGUUAUUAGGGAAGAACAAAUGUGUAAGUAACUAUGCACGUCUUGACGGUACCUAAUCAGAAAGCCACGGCUAACUACGUGCCAGCAGCCGCGGUAAUACGUAGGUGGCAAGCGUUAUCCGGAAUUAUUGGGCGUAAAGCGCGCGUAGGCGGUUUUUUAAGUCUGAUGUGAAAGCCCACGGCUCAACCGUGGAGGGUCAUUUGAAACUGGAAAACUUGAGUGCAGAAGAGGAGAGUGGAAUUUCAUGUGUAGCGGUGAAAUGCGCAGAGAUAUGGAGGAACACCAAUGGCGAAGGCGGAUUUCUGGACUGUAACUGACGCUGAUGUGCGAAAGCGAUGGGAUCAAACAGG